UACGUAGGGGGCAAGCGUUGUCCGGAAUCAUUGGGCGUAAAGCGCGCGUAGGCGGCCCGGUAAGUCCGCUGUAAAAGUCAAAGGCUCAACCUUUGAAUGUCAGUGGAUACUGCCGGGCUAGAGUCCGGAAGAGGCGAGUGGAACUCCUGGUGUAGCGGUGGAAUGCGCAGAUAUCAGGAAGAACACCAACGGCGAAGGCAGCUCGCUAGGACGGUACUGACGCUGAGACGCGAAAGCGUGGGGAGCGAACAGG
rnacentral:rRNA from 1 species